AGAGUUUGAUCAUGGCUCAGAUUGAACGCUGGCGGCAGGCUUAACACAUGCAAGUCGAGCGGUAGCAGGCCUUCGGGUGCUGACGAGCGGCGGACGGGUGAGGAAUGCAUAGGAAUCUGCCUAUUAGUGGGGGAUAACACGGGGAAACUCGCGCUAAUACCGCAUACGUCCUACGGGAGAAAGCGGGGGAUCUUCGGACCUCGCGCUAAUAGAUGAGCCUAUGCCGGAUUAGCUAGUUGGUAGGGUAAAGGCCUACCAAGGCGACGAUCCGUAGCUGGUCUGAGAGGAUGAUCAGCCACACUGGGACUGAGACACGGCCCAGACUCCUACGGGAGGCAGCAGUGGGGAAUAUUGGACAAUGGGCGCAAGCCUGAUCCAGCCAUGCCGCGUGUGUGAAGAAGGCCUUCGGGUUGUAAAGCACUUUAAGUGGGGAGGAAGGUUAGUGGUUUAAUACGCUACUAAAUUGACGUUACCCACAGAAUAAGCACCGGCUAACUCUGUGCCAGCAGCCGCGGUAAUACAGAGGGUGCAAGCGUUAAUCGGAAUUACUGGGCGUAAAGCGCGCGUAGGUGGUUUUGUAAGUUGAAUGUGAAAUCCCCGGGCUUAACCUGGGAAUGGCAUCCAAAACUGCACGACUAGAGUAUGGGAGAGGGAGGUAGAAUUCCAGGUGUAGCGGUGAAAUGCGUAGAGAUCUGGAGGAAUACCGGUGGCGAAGGCGGCCUCCUGGCCUAAUACUGACACUGAGGUGCGAAAGCGUGGGUAGCAAACAGGAUUAGAUACCCUGGUAGUCCACGCCGUAAACGAUGAGAACUAGCCGUUGGUCUCCUUGAGAGGUUAGUGGCGCAGCUAACGCGAUAAGUUCUCCGCCUGGGGAGUACGGCCGCAAGGUUAAAACUCAAAUGAAUUGACGGGGGCCCGCACAAGCGGUGGAGCAUGUGGUUUAAUUCGACGCAACGCGAAGAACCUUACCUGGUCUUGACAUCCACGGAAUCCUGCAGAGAUGUGGGGGUGCCUUCGGGAACCGUGAGACAGGUGCUGCAUGGCUGUCGUCAGCUCGUGUUGUGAAAUGUUGGGUUAAGUCCCGUAACGAGCGCAACCCUUGUCCUUAGUUGCCAGCGAGUAAUGUCGGGAACUCUAAGGAGACUGCCGGUGACAAACCGGAGGAAGGUGGGGACGACGUCAAGUCAUCAUGGCCCUUACGACCAGGGCUACACACGUGCUACAAUGGCCGGUACAGAGGGUUGCCAAGCCGCGAGGUGGAGCCAAUCCCGAAAAGCCGGUCGUAGUCCGGAUUGCAGUCUGCAACUCGACUGCAUGAAGUCGGAAUCGCUAGUAAUCGCAGAUCAGAAUGCUGCGGUGAAUACGUUCCCGGGCCUUGUACACACCGCCCGUCACACCAUGGGAGUGGGUUGCACCAGAAGUAGUUAGCUUAACCGCAAGGGGAGCGAUUACCACGGUGUGAUUCAUGACUGGGGUGAAGUCGGAACAAGGUA
rnacentral:rRNA from 1 species